GGUCGAAUUAGAUCAAAGCCUGGAGGAAAACUUGAGAUGGGGGAGGCCUCUGUGGUGGAAAGGUACGGGAGACCAAUGCCAAAGCUAAGAAACACAGAUAUAAAAUCGAGUAAAUAUGAGGAUCGUCCAGCCCCACCAGGAACUAUAAACGUAGCGCAGAUGCGCCACAUAAUUCUCCUGCAUCAAGGUAAGGCUGAUGAUCAUGAUGGCCCAAUGGGACUUCACCAAAUCGCUGAAAGGUAUAAUGUUAGUGUUGCUCAAAU
rnacentral:misc_RNA from 1 species